CAUUAAAUUCGGCAAACCCGGGGAAACCCGGCGACGCAAAGCUAUAGGGCCUCUGCUGGCAGCCAGUUGCAAUC
rfam:Megasphaera elsdenii strain DSM 20460 draft genome